GCCACCACCUUUCAUUGUGCCCAAUGCCCCCUCCUCCUCUCUCUCUAGUCCAUGCCCUCUCUCUCUCUAGGCAUCCUUUCUCUUGGAUCUUGGAGAGAGAUGGGCAGCAACACGUUGUUGGUAUCAAGGGUCAGUGCCAAAAGUUAUUGGUUUCUUCUUCUUCCUCUCAAGUUUGUUAAGAGGUUGUUACAACUACUUCUUGAUUAG
rnacentral:lncRNA from 1 species